rnacentral:rRNA from 1 species
UACGAAGGGGGCUAGCGUUGCUCGGAAUCACUGGGCGUAAAGCGCACGUAGGCGGACUCUUAAGUCGGUGGUGAAAGCCUGGAGCUCAACUCCAGAACUGCCUUCGAUACUGAGAGUCUUGAGUUCGGGAGAGGUGAGUGGAACUGCGAGUGUAGAGGUGAAAUUCGUAGAUAUUCGCAAGAACACCAGUGGCGAAGGCGGCCCACUGGCCCGAUACUGACGCUGAGGUGCGAAAGCGUGGGUAGCAAACAGG